rnacentral:lncRNA from 12 species
CACCACCAGGAGAUGCUGUGGUGGGGCACGAUGCUGCCGGAGGGAACCGGAGCCUGCAGAAGGUGUUCAAUUCCACAAUGUCCUCAAUUGCUCCCCUUGAUGUUUGGAAGUGCAGUUGAAGAAUUGCUGCUCAUGAGAAAUCAUAGAAG